GGAGGGGAUGUCUGUUAAAUGGGCUCAGCACAUGCUGUUCUGGCUGCUUCCGCUGAACUCUGCUGCUGGCGAGGUUGGAUGGGACCCUGUGCAACCUGAUGUGGUGUCUGACAGCCCUGCCUGCAGCAGGAGGUUGGAGCUCAAUGAUCUUCAAGGUCCCUUCCAACCCAAGCCAUUCUACGACUCCCAACCAAACCAUUCUACGACUACGAUUCCAACCGCUCCUAAUUUUGCAGCUCCGUUCAAGCCCCGCUCUGCCAUCACUCUAACAGGAGCCGUCACCUAUCUUUAAACCUUCUCUCACCCUUCUCUGCAUCUUCCCCCAGAUCCUCAAUGGGCGGUGAUAAGAGCGGACUGAAAGACCACUCGUGCGUUAUCGGCACUUUGGAAAACCCCGGGCAGCUCACGUGGCUGCCGGCUGACGCUUCAGUGCCUCUCUGAUCCCUUACGUAACCAGUGGCACUGUUUGUUUUUCCUUGCUGACUUUUUUUGUGUGUGUGUGUGUGUGACUCCCACGUUCACUGCUCUUAAAGCCGCUUAUAAUCACUCUAAAGCCCCAGCUUAGCCAGGCACCGCUCUGGGUCCUGAGCGGCUUGCUGAGCUGCCUCCUUCGUUCCCUUGCAUGAAGGUUUCUUUCCCUUUUGCUGGUUCCAGGUUCAACAUUUUUAUGGCUUCUCCCCUGCACAGCAGUUCUGAUUUGGGAUCCGCUGCUCAUGGGAUGGCCCAAAGCCUCUUGAGUGGGUUGGCCAACGUCUUGCUCAUCUCCUGGUGGGGCGAUUGACUUAUUACGUGGUCUGACAGUGAUAGGACAAAGGGAAAUGGCUCUAAGCUAAAAGAGAGGAGAUUUAGAUUAGACGCUAUGAAGAAAUUCUUUACUCAGAGGGCGGUGAGGCCCUGGCACUGCUGAUCAGAUAGCUGUGGGUGCCCCAUCCCUGGAGGUGCUCAAGGUCUCGUUAGAUAGGGCCCUGGGCAGCCUGAGCUGGUGGGAGACAACCAGCCCACCCAUCUUCAUAGUGUUAUUUUGAUAAGGAAUAGCCUAUGCUGUUCUUGUUUUGUACAGUGUUGUUCUCUAAAACCUCCGUUGCAUUCUGUAUGUACGUACACAUUCAACAGAUGCACACAUCUGCCAUCAGAUUUCCUGCUGAAAUACCCCCAGCUAAAAUCCCAGCUAUUUCUCAGUCUGAUUUCACUCUUGCUAAGCCAGAUUAGGAGUUUUUGGGUCUUGCUGAAACUUCUGCGCUUCGCAGGAUGAAUUCUUAUCCCUGGCAGAAGGCUGCCCUGCUCUCUGUGUUGAUUCUGGCGUCUGCACUGGAAAGCAAACAAAGUAACUCAAGUUGGGUAUUAGGAAAAUGUCUUCCAUGGAAGAGUGAUCAGGCAUUGGAACAGCCUGCCCAGGGCAGCGGUGGAGUCACUGUCCAUGGAGGUUUUCUAGGAAAGGGUAGAUGGAACUUAGGGACAUGGUUGGUGGGUAUGGUGGUGGUUGGUUGACGGUUGGACUUGAUGAUCUUCGUGGCCUUUUCCAGCCUCAGUGAUUCUAUGAACUUCCAUCAGCCCCGAGGCAAAAGUAGUGCCUGGGUUUUGCGUUCCCUCCAGAAGAGCCCAACCUCUUUGUUUCAGGGAAAACACAUCUGGGAUCCAACAGCAGCCAUUGUUCUCCGGUGAGUAAGGACCAACACGGUUAAUGGCAGCUGAGGUGUUCUCGCAGUGCCCUGCUGCUCCUAAACAUCUCCAGCAGCACUGAUUGGAGGAGCCAUCCAAAAUUUAAUUGUUUUCUCAUUGAUUGGUGGUAAGGACAGGCUGGUAAGCCUCUGUGCAGCCUCCAGGUGGAUCAGGUUGAUGCCCACAUCUGGAAACACUGUGCCACAAGCUACCCAAGUCUUUCCCUAUAUAGUUCAACAAAGCACGAGGUGAAACAAGGGAAGCUUUUUUUCCCCAGACCACUCUCACAGUGGUGGCUCCACGGGCUCAUCUUGGAGGUCAGCUUUCCCCUUUGUGAUGCUAAACAACUAGGAAGGAAUAAUCAAAUUACAUCCGCACAAUUACGUGAAUGAGGGCAUCAAGCAUCCCAUAGAGAGUUGUCCCUUGCUGCUUUGCAAAGGCCAUCACGUUCAUUCGGGCUGGCAAAUCUCCUCUCUGGGUUUCAGACAAAGCCGUAUGAGGACUGGUGAUGCACUGGCACAGGUUGCCCAGAGGGGUGGUGGUGCCCCAUCCGUGGAGACCUUCAGGUCAGGCUGGAAGGGGCUCUGAGCACUGAUGGAGCUGUGGGUGUCCCUGUGCAUUGCAGGGAGUGGGACCAGAUGGCCUUUAAGGGUCCCUUCCAACUCAUCAAUUAUAUGAUUCUAUGACUUUUGGGACAUGAGAUGGGGUGCUCCUUCCCAUGCUAUCCUGAGGAGCACAUCUCCCCAGUACCACUGCAGCUGAACACGCAUAGAGCAACAAGAAGGAAACAGAUGCUUCCCUGCUGGAUGAAUCAGCAGCACAUCUGGGCUCUGAUGAGGCUGCACUGUAAGAUUUUCCCCUCUAUCCCAUGCCGGUGGGAAGGCAGUGGGCCAGCCUUGCUGCUUGGCUGGGGAGCAGGAGGGAGAGGAAGCAGGGUUGGCUCUCCUUGCAGGGGAAAUAUUAAAUGCUGCCAUUGAAAACUAG
ensembl:lncRNA